rnacentral:lncRNA from 15 species
AUGAGGAUACCCUUAACAGGAGCAGUUAAACCGGGACCGGGUUUAUUGUCGCCCGGAUGCCAUCGGACCCAUCAGAUCACUCAGCCGCGACAAGCGGUGGCUCCGUCGCCUGAAAGUCAAUCUCCGUUAAACAAAGCAGCAUCCUCCUCUCUCCUCUCUCCUCUCCUGCCCCGUCGAUUGGCUGUAUCCCUCCUCGUCAGGCGGCCGCUGAUUGGACAUGCCCCUCUCUACCUCCGCCCCCACCUCCCCGUCCACGAGCGUGCAGCGCGAGACGCCGAGCAGCAGAGGAGGCAUCCGCGCGGUGUGGAGCGGACGGAGCGCGCGCCCACCCACCCCCCCCUCCCUCUCUCCACCACCACCUCCAGGACACCCAGGACAAGUUAUAAACGACGGAAACACGGAGAACAACACCGGAAACGGUAUGAAGAGACGGAGCCCAUAUUGCCUUGGAUGAGAGCCAGCUGUGUCAGCCCAUCAGUAUGCUACUCUGCUUCUAUUCUGUGUAACACGGUAGGAUGA